UACGUAGGGGGCGAGCGUUGUCCGGAUUCAUUGGGCGUAAAGAGCUCGUAGGCGGCUUGGCAAGUCGGAUGUGAAAACUCCAGGCUCAACCUGGAGCCGCCAUUCGAUACUGCCGGCCUCGAGGGGGAUAGGGGCGUGCGGAACUCAGGGUGGAGCGGUGAAAUGCGUAGAUAUCCUGAGGAACACCGGUGGCGAAAGCGGCGCGCUGGAUCCCUUCUGACGCUGAGGCGCGGAAGCCAGGGGAGCAAACGGG
rnacentral:rRNA from 1 species